rnacentral:lncRNA from 1 species
AAGAAUAAGCUAUGUGGGUUUGUCAGUCAAUGUUUAGUGAGAAGGGCUUUAUGUGAAGUGGUGGCCCUUUGAAGAUGUUCUCACUGUUAUUUAUUUCAGAAGACAACUCAUAGCAUUUUUAGUCUUGAACGGUACCAGCUGCAUUACACUGCAACACUGGGUGGUGAAGAGGCUUGGGCGAGCACAAGCUGUAGAGGAAGGAAAGGAGGAAAGAGAAGAAGGAAAAGAAGCAGAAGGCCAAACAUUCUGCGUUAAAGAAAGUGAGAAAAGUAAAUCAGACCAGACCAAACCAAAUCAAA